rnacentral:rRNA from 1 species
UACGUAGGGGGCCAGCGUUGUCCGGACUUACUGGGCGUAAAGCGCGCGCAGGUGGGUGAGUAUGUGCCGUGUGAAAGCGCCGUCCUAAUGCGGCGAGGUCGCGGUAGACAGCUUACCUUGAGCUAUGGAGAGGCCAGUGGAAUUCCGGGUGGAGCGGUGAAAUGCGUAGAUAUCCGGAGGAACACCAGAGGCGAAGGCGACUGGCUGGCCAUAUGCUGACACUGAGGCGCGAAGGCGUGGGGAGCAAACCGG